GACGAACGCUGGCGGCGUGCCUAAUACAUGCAAGUUGAGCGCCGAAGGUUGGUACUUGUACCAACUGGCUGAGCAGCGAACGGGUGAGUAACGCGUGGGUAAUCUGCCUUUGAGCAGGGGACAACAUUUGGAAACGAAUGCUAAUACCGCAUAAAAACUUUAAACACAAGUUUUAAGUUUGAAAGAUGCAAUUGCAUCACUCAAAGAUGAUCCCGCGUUUUAUUAGCUAGUUGGUGAGGUAAAGGCUCACCAAGGGGAUGAUACAUAGACGACCUGAGAGGGUGAUGGGAGACAUAGGGACAGAGACACGGCCAAAAAAGCAACGGGAGGCAGCAGUAGGGAAACUUCGGCAAAGGACGAAAGUCUGAAAGAGAAAAGCAGCGUGAGUGAAGAAGGUGUUCGGAUCGUAAAACUCUGUUGGUAGAGAAGAACGUUGGUGAGAGUGGAAAGCUCAACAAGUGACGGUAACUACCCAGAAAGGGACGGCUAACUACGUGC
rnacentral:rRNA from 1 species